AACGAACGCUGGCGGCAUGCCUAACACAUGCAAGUCGAACGAGAUCCUUCGGGGCCUAGUGGCGCACGGGUGCGUAACGCGUGGGAAUCUGCCCUUAGGUUCGGAAUAACAGUUAGAAAUGACUGCUAAUACCGGAUGAUGACGUUAAGUCCAAAGAUUUAUCGCCUGAGGAUGAGCCCGCGUAGGAUUAGCUAGUUGGUGUGGUAAAGGCGCACCAAGGCGACGAUCCUUAGCUGGUCUGAGAGGAUGAUCAGCCACACUGGGACUGAGACACGGCCCAGACUCCUACGGGAGGCAGCAAUGGGGAAUAUUGGACAAUGGGCGCAAGCCUGAUCCAGCAAUGCCGCGUGAGUGAUGAAGGCCUUAGGGUUGUAAAGCUCUUUUACCCGAGAUGAUAAUGACAGUAUCGGGAGAAUAAGCCCCGGCUAACUCCGUG
rnacentral:rRNA from 1 species